GGAUGCAAAGGAGAUCUGGCUUCGACAUCUGUCCCCCGUUGAUGGCUAGGCUUGAUUCGGGUGGGCUGGCAGCUGGGCUGGUCUCCCUUCCUCCCUCCCUGCUCCACGUGCAUCCUUCCAAAGCUGCACACGGUGGAGGAGGACCACCUUCCCUGAUAGAGAAGGACCCUUCUCUGGUCAAGGAUGCGGGUGGCUCCUCUGCUGGAAGCUCUGAACAAGAUCUCCAGGUCUGUUUGUAGGAGAACAUUGGAGCCAAGCUUCUGAGCUCCCAGACACCUCAGAACGAGGUGCGGUGUGUGGCAGUCGGCCUUCCUUA
rfam:Equus caballus chromosome 31, whole genome shotgun sequence.